GUGAUGCAUAGGUUCUGAACGCACUAAUAUCCAUCAACAGCAUGUGCCCUGCCCCUGACAACUUGCAAUAGUUAAACGUUUUCAAGAACAAUGCUGCGCUGCUCAUUGAAAAGAUAUCCACAGGUACUAAACUUCAGGUCAGGAAACAUGGCUUCCUCUGCAGGUUGCAAAGAAGCCAGCUCUAUCUUCAAAAUGCAAACUCUCUGAGAAUAAAUUGUCAUAUGGCAAAUAAAUUGUCAUCUUUUUAUACAUGAAAAAACUGAAGUGCAGAAAUAUUAAGUAGUUUGCUCACAGUGCUGGUGACCUCUUCCACAUGUGUUCUCACCAUUGUGAUGCCAUCCACCAUAAGACAUUCACUAGAGCUGAGCAGAUUCCUGCACCAUGAAAUCCCAGUGGAAGGACUGCCUCGUGACGACAUAUACUAUUUCCAAUAAAGAACUGGAGAAGAGGAGUUGGGAGAUUUCAAGCACAGAGAAGAAAAGGAAAUGGAAAUGGAAAGGCUGGUUUUUAGUAUGUUUGGUUAAAUUUUUGUUUUAUGUUGAAAAAUUGCAUUGUGCCCCCAAAAUGUGAAGUUAUUAAUGUGAAUCCAAACUGUAAAUAAAUCUUUUGAUGUUUUAAGAAA